UUUCCAUGUGCUUAUCUUUAAUAAGUUAAGAAUUCAACAAGCUUUAGGAGGACUUGAAAUAAGCAAGGGAGUCGGUGGUGGCUUCGGCUGGGAGGUGGCAGCAGCCAUCACAGCUUUAUUUCAGCAGAGGGGGUGCAGAUGGCUGAGGCCGGUGGGGGGAGAAUUUGCAUUCUUCACUGGGGCUGCACUGGAUCCAGGCUCAGCUGGAAGAACACAGGAGCGGGAGGGAGAGGCGGGGGAGGGAAUUCAGGGCGGCGAACCACGUCUUGGCCAGACCCUCUGAGUCAGUGGGGCUGAGACCAGAACCACGCUCCCACCUCUGCUUCCCAGUGGUACAUGGGGCCAAGUCAAUGAUCCCAGGAUGCUGCUCAGCAGCCCCAUCAAUUUCUGCAGCCCGUCUGAGCCAGAUUAUAAGUUCUCCCUUCGUGGACAAUUUUGGAGGGGCUCAGUGUCAGUGUAGAAGCUGUCCAGUGAGGGACAAGACCAAGAAACUGUUUUUACCCCUCUCUGCAAAGGGGCUCGAAGUGGAACCCUCCUCUCUCCCAUAGGUCUUGGGUGGCCCUUUCCCAGGAGAUGGUUUCCCUCUCGGACCCACAUUUUGCAUUCACCCUCUCUCCUCCAGGCCAUUGUCC